AAACCACUCACCCCCACUUUUUCUUCUUCCCCAAACCUCUCAUAUCCUAAUUCCAAGGUGUCCAAUUCAGCUGCUGCUCAAACUAAAUAGGGAUAUGAAGGAGAAGGAUCUCGGAUAGAAAAAUACAAAAAAAAAGAAUGUCUCGCCAGACCAAAAAACAAAUAAUUGAUGGAGGCAACGCAUCAAGUUUGAAAAGCAGGCUUAAGGAAGUCGAGACGGAGACACGCAAUAUGCUUGCCACAACCACUGUUCUAAAAAUCCCCGCCUAGCGCCGCCUAGGCCCCGCCUAGGCGCUAGGCCCUAGCCCACCGCCCCGAUUAAUGCCUAGGCCCCAGCCCACCGCCUAGACCACCUAGGCACCCGCCUA